rnacentral:lncRNA from 1 species
UGCAGGCCGGCCUGACCGCCGUUCGCCUCCAGCUCUGCGGUGGCCUAGGCAGCGCGCAGGAACCGCCAUUAAGGCUCCGGCAGAGGGGCCAGAGGGAGGCUGUGACCGGGGCAGGGAUCAGUAAUUUAAUAGAUAUGCCCGGCUCUGUAAUAGUCACAGGCCUACCCAGAUGUGAAAAGUUCAUCAUCUCAGUGACAGAUGGUGGGUGAUACAUUCAUGAAAUACAUCACCUCCCUUGAUAAGUCACGAUGACUAAUAUCAGCAGCAUACCUCGUCACCUGGACUAAUCACACAUUGGAUUGAUUUUAGCGGUGGUGGCAUUUCCAAUUUUGCACAUUACCCAGAGCCCAGGAGAAGGUGUAGAUGGUGCUCCAUCUCUGAAGAGUGAGUACCUGGAGUGAACCACUUGCUAGGAUGCCCUGAGAGGCGGGAAUGACAGGAAAAAGCAGAUCCACACAGACCUCCAGCAGCUGCCGCCUUCCACAUUGAAACUCCUUAAAACAGCCCAGUAAAGAGAAGGGGGCAAGAGCACAUCCGUCCACCCAGAGUUAGUUAAGUCACAAAGUGCUUUCUUUACAUUAAGGAACCACCAGGAGUGUCCCCUUGACCCAGAAAGACCAAGGAGGAGAGCUGGUGGGGGCGUCAGGCAGGG